GGCGGCGUGCUGCUCAGCCCGAUGCUGCUGUAUGCACUGCUGGCGCUGCUGCUCACCGGGCUGCUGCGUCUGGGCUUGCAGCGCCUCGGUGUGGCGCGCUGGAUCUGGCAUGAGGCGCUGUUCGACUGCGCCCUG
rnacentral:sRNA from 1 species